rnacentral:lncRNA from 1 species
GGAGCCCGGCGGACGCUGGGUCUGCAGAUGCCAUCCAGGCGCACGGCGGGUAUAGUGGUUCCGCAACCUUGGGAUGUUCGGCUGAGCGCCUGCCUAACAUGGGAGCGCCUGCCUAACCCUCCUGACUGGAGGGUCAGCGGCGGGGAGUCCUGGCCUUCAAUCGGCCAUCGCCACGGCAGAAACUGGGGCCCGGGCUGCGUCCAGGCCCUUCCCCGUCCGUCCACAGGUCUCAUGGGCGCCCGGACUGGGGCUGAUGUAGUUUCCCGACCUCUGACACAUAGGAUCUGGAGAUUAAAGCUGCUCUGCUAAUAAUUAGGUUCCCACCUCUCAAGAUCAUUAGGAGCUUCUUUUCCAAUUCCUCUGUUUUGCAUGCAUUGGAAGGAUCUGGAGCUCAGGACCCACUACCUCCCCGGCCCACUGCAAGCUUGAACAUUUGAUGGUGGACACCCCUCCCUGACUUUGUAUUAUGUGUCACUGGUGUGGGGGUUACCUUCCCACUAUGUCUCCCAGAAGACAUGAGGGCACAGACUACAGUGCCUGUGGACAGAGGAGCUGUGGGGAUGGAAGUGUGAUUGCUUCAUUCAAAUGCACGCCCCGGUGCGUGUGCGUCUCUUCUGAUGCAGCUCCCCAUGGAUUCACAGGCUGCUCCCCAGAAUACUGAAGAAGAAACUCUAGGAGUGAGACCCAACAAUCUGUGUUUAACAAGUCCCCAGGCCCCUGGAUCCUCCUGGAAUCCCUGAUCCCUGUUGCUCCCUGGCGGAGUUUUCUAGUCCCUCUUACUUGAAGCAUGUCUUUCAGAGCCCGGCACCACCCAAGUUGGGUAUCUGCUACACCUCUAUGGUAUUUUUUUCACCUCAUAUCAUACCUUCCUCCCUCACUGGACUUCAGUGUGGGACCUGCAGGUCUCAGGCCUUCUGGGAAGUCCCAGCUUUUCUUGAAUGUUCUCUCUCUCUGGCCAGCUCAGGCUGGAGCAGUGGGUGUUGGUGCCAUCCUGUGGCUAUAGGUGAUAAGCCGGCUGUUCUUCACUGACCUGGUCUUACCUUGAACCCUGGAGUUCUCACAUGCAUGGAUUUAAAUGCUGUGUCUUUCUAAGGGCACAUUAUGGCCAUUUUCCUUAUCUCCCUCCCAAGGGGCUGUUUCCUGUAUUUAUUGACUCCCUGUUUAAAAAAAAUAUAUGUAUAUAUAGACAAAUUGGAUUGUACCCCAUAAACUGCAUGUUUUAAAAAUACUUCAAAGAAUAGUUUUUCAUUUUUUUCUUGCUGGUUUUUAUGUAUCUUCUAAAUUGUAUAUAUUUAUGGGGUAUAAAAUGAUGUUGUGAUUUUUCAAUACAGUGUGGAAUGAGAAUCAAAUUAACCUAUCCGUUACCUCAAGUACUUGACUUUUUUUGUGAUGAGAAGGCUGUUUAUCACUUUCACUCACCAGCUCCUGCUGUCUUCCAUGCUGGGGACAGGAAAGGCUCCACGCUUGACUUUCCCUCCUGUUUUCUUAUCUGCUGUCAACCCCUGAAUGUACCCUCCAGGAUUGACUUCUAGACCUUCUACAUCUAGCUCGAUCGUUGUGCACCCACCUUCCUCCCAGGGACUGUCCUUAGGGAGUGACUUUAUGCACAAACUUCACAUGCUCUUCCUGCCUCCUUCAUCCCCAGAAGCCCCCAUCUCAGCCCCAUCUGAUUAUUUCCUCCCUCUCUCAUUUCCUGUUAUGCUGUUGGUUUUCUAACCUGAAGGGUAACUUCUUACUCCUUAGUUUUUUGCCUUAAUUUCUAAGUCAUAGGCUACUUUCAGGCUAAAAGUUUUCCUCCAGCCAUGGUUUUAGUCUCAUUCUAUAAGUCUUGCUAGGUAGUUUAUUCAUUGGAAAUUUUUUGUUUUUGAGACAGAGUCUCGCUCUAUCACCCAGGCUGUAGUACAGUGGUGCCAUCUCAGCUCACUGCAACCUCCGGUUCCCGGGCUCAAGCAGUUCUCUUUCCUCAGCCUCCUGAGUAGCUGGGAUUAUGGGUGCCUGCCACCACACCCAGCUAAUUUUUGUAUUUUUAGCAGAGACGGCAUUUCACCAUGUCAGCCAGGUUGGUCUCGAACUCUUGACCUCAAGUGAUCCGCCCGCCUUGGCCUCCCAAAAUACUGGGAUUACAGGGGUGAGUCACCGCACCCCACCCCUUGGCACUAUAUUUAAGUGAUGAUAUUUUUGGACACUGAGGUAGCCUCAUUCCACAGGUUUAGAUCUGAAGCAUUUUCACUAUUGCUUCUUUCCAUGUAUUUCCUGGUUUGCAGGUCAGUUUCUUCUUUUAAUUCAUCAUUGACACAGUGGUUUAUAUGGCUUUUAAUUUCAAAAGAUUUUUUAAAAUAUCUUUUUGCCGAUUUUUAUCUAUGUUAAUUUUAACUAGACAUGUUCCCUGGAAGGACAUCACUAGUUUUUUUUUUUUUUUUCCCUCUGUUUAUAAUUUAGGUGGAUUUUCACAUCUCAAGCCAGCUAAGAGUAUGGGAAAUAGGACUCGUUAAAGCACAGGUAUCACACAAGUGAUUCAGAUUCACGAGGGUAAUCCAGAUGAAGGUAUAUCAUUGUACCUGGCCCGCAUCACUCAAUAACUGUCACCUUUGAUUUAUUGAUUUACUUGAGAUGGAGUUUGGUUCUGUCCCCGAGGCCGGAGUGCAAUGGCGUGAUCUCUGCUCACUACAACCUCUGCCUCCCAGGUUCAGAGUGAUUCUCCUGCCUCAGCCUCUUUAGCUGGGAUUACAGGCACCCACCAACAUGCCCAGCUAAUUUUUGUAUUUUUAGUAGAGAGGAGCUUUCACCAUAAUGGCCAGGCUGGUCUUGAACCUCAAAUGAUCUGCCCACCUUGGCCUCCCAAAGUGCUAGGAUUACAGGCUGGAGCUACGGAGCCCAGCCUGUCACCUUGAUUUAAAUGAAUGCAGCUUUCUUGGUGUCUUGAUGUUUGUGAAUUUCUGUGGAGUUUGAUACUGCUCCUUUUGCUGCUUGUUUUUCCAGAGUCCCCUUAUCACUUGACGUGCUGUUAUAUUAUGUUUGAUUUAUUACAGAUACCCCAUCAGCCUGAGUCUCUUAAAGGCCUUUAUACACAUAUGUCUACACAUAGGGAUUUGGAUGAUCUCGGGAUCCCACAUCCUCGCUGUCCCCUGUCCCCCCACAACAUCCCACACCAAUACCUUUCUGAAGUUUUCUAGUCCCUCCUUUUUGUUUGUGGUCCUUAAAGCCCAGCCCCAUGCCUGACUUUGGUUCCCAGUGAGCAUUGUACAUUUGUGGAUAUUAAAUCUUUGGCAAAGUCAUUU